CUCAGGUGCUGGGCGGUCAGGCCGAAACACAAGAACCCACUUACCCAGUCUCUCUCCCUCGUGCGGCCUGCGGCCGUUCCUCACGAGGCCACGACCCACUCCUCUGCCACGAACUAGCCUUCUCCCUCCCCCUGCGCACACCUUCCUCCAUGCCCGGCGAGAUCUGCUGCAUUGACCUCCAUUGACCUGGCCCUCGCGUUGGCCCGUCUCCACCGAGUCUAAUCCUCCUACGCCGGAGCUCCUCCCUCCUAGGCCUUCUUCUCUGCCAAACCGGUAGCGAAGCACCCCGCGCGAGCAGACGCGUUCCCCAGCCCCGGACCGGCGGCGACGCGACCCCGCGCCCUGCUUCUCCCUGCCGGCGUCAUCCUGCACCCUGCAGUGUCGAUCCCUCGCCAGGUCGAGGCAUCCCGUGACUGGGAGUUCGAUUCCUGCUGGAUCCAGGCCCUUCGCGUCCAACAACGACAACAAAAGAGGGCAGCGAUUGCUACGGUCGCCCCCGCAGAUUCAACCGGAGACGGCCCCCUCUGCUCGCGCGCCCCUCGGAGAUCCCCUACAGUUCAACUCCCUGGCCGCGAAGUACAGGGAGGGUUCUCUUGAAGCCUUGCCUGAAACUCUCCGUCCAAAGCCAUGACUGCAGGUGUCAUGUGGACGACGGCGAGGUGGAUGCGGCGUAGUACCUCACUAAAUUCCCCUCUCGCUCUUCGUCCACAGGAUCAAUUCACCGAAGCAACAUCAGCAACAAUACGUGCAAGCAAACAAGCAAGCAGGGAGGCUGGUUGAUUGAUGAAGAGUAGCCGCAGCCUCCUCAUAGGUAACCUUCGAUCCGAACAUAACUAACUCUCGAUGGACGGAAUUCAUGUGAGCUUGUGAACAAAAACUGUUUCACGUGCUGGAGUGGAGUAUACGAGCUGGCACUCUAAAACCCAACAUAAACAUUUUUGUUGAUUAUGGUAUCCAUAUCAGCCUAACUAUUUGCUUGCCUAAUGAUUUUGUUAGUUGGUUGCCUGAUAUGUCUAUCUGCCUAGUUAAAUAUUUCUAUUGAAUAUGGUAUGCAUAUCAGCUAGACUGAAACUUGUACAGGAACACAUUAGUUCAAUAAUAAAAAAGGCCUGCUUGGAUGGUUUAUACAGUUACAACUCUGUCAGUUCUAAACUUCUAAUACUACAAGAUAUGUGUACAAGUAGAUGCACAUCAGUGCUAGCUGAAUAAUGCCGCUAGAAUCACAUUGAUUUUACAAAGGAUUAGCACAUAGCAUUACUGUUAUGCUAUUUUUAGCACACAUAAAAGCAAACUCUCCUAGGGGAAAGCAACACUGCAUCUGAAUGAAAGAUUCUCUGUCUUUCAGUGGUCAUUGAUGCCACACACAAGAUGCAGUUAACAACAUGAUAUUGCUUUGAUAUGUGCACUGACAGUUCCAUCUGUUUGAUCAAUUCAUCGAUUCUCCUCCCUCAGUUGGAGCUGCUUCCAAUUUCCCUGUUGGCACUUCUGUUAGCCAUUAGUACAUCAUUAAGCAAAUAAAAGUAAGAAGUUGUGGGCUGUACUUUAGAUCGAGAAAGUCAGCAGCAAAAAACAUGCUUUCUUCUAGUCAAUAUAUAACCUUUUUGACAUUGAGUUCUAGUCAAAAAAACAUGCUUUCUUCUAGUCAAUGAUUUGUACACUAACUUGCCUAAUAAUGACACAAAGUUGCCUACAAUAUUUUUUUGGCAUAUGAUUUACGGCAACUAGCAAACGGAAGGGAGGAGAGAGGUGUCUGAGUACCAGCGACCAGCAAGAGAAGCAAGAGGAAGAGCCAAGGGGGCAGCGCCAUCCGUGCGUCACAACCAUCUAGGGGGUGGAGCUAGAUCCGGGAAAGCGUUGUCUCGAGUGGUCGAGGAACUGGGCAGUAAAUCACCGGGCCUCACUAAAUUCUAAAACGGUGUCAAGGCAACAUGGUUUUGUGCACACGCCCACGCAAGAAGCUUCAAAAUCUACUUCGAGGUGUUGUACAAAUCAAAUAUUAGUUACUCAUGCUAGAAGAAACAAGGGGAAAACAAUGGAAAAGGAGUUGCAAUUAGGAUGAACAAGGCGAGGAAAAAUCAAACCUUCUCUUUCUUUUCCUCCUCUGCACCCUGGUUCAUUUUUAGCAAGCAAGCAAGAUUUUUGCUACACACUUCAAGAGUUUUGUAAAACAUGAGGCAUCUGAGAGGGCACAUCAAGAUGGAAGCUCACCUUCAGGUCCAUGCCCACCGAGGGGCGGCAGUUGUGGCAAUGGAGGAGAGGACAGAUGGAGAAGGGGAGGUCAAGGGGGGAUGUUUGGGGAGGUAGCGACUGGGAAGGAGGGAAGGAGGGUUUGCUGUGUCGGCGUGAGCCUAACGCUAAUGUUGGGAACGGAGCAGCAGUUGCGAUUAUGACAGAUUCUCAAGGGGGCCGUUUUUUUCCUUUUUUGGUUUGCCAGCUGGAUCCAGGGAGAGGUCCACUACUAAUUUUGGGGUGUGUGCCGUGGACUGCUAGCCAGCCAGCGAUUGCUGGCUAGUCGCGUCCUUUUUGCAUAUGGAAAAAGAGGUAAUAGCACCCCAGGUAUCCUAACUUGCACCCAAUGUGAUGAUCUAGUCCCAAAGUUGCAAAACUAGAUCAACUCAUAC
rnacentral:rRNA from 1 species